rnacentral:rRNA from 1 species
GUGGGGAAUAUUGGGCAAUGGGGGCAACCCUGACCCAGCGACGCCGCGUGGAGGAAGAAGUCCCUCGGGAUGUAAACUCCUGUUGUGUGGGAAGAAGCGAGUGACGGUACCACACGAGGAAGCCCCGGCAAACUACGUGCCAGCAGCCGCGGUAAUACGUAGGGGGCGAGCGUUGUCCGGAAUCACUGGGCGUAAAGGGCACGCAGGCGGACCGACAGGUCGUUUGUGAAAGGCGAGGGCUCAACCCUUGUUUGCGGACGAAACCGUCGGACUGGAGUACCGGAGAGGGAAGUGGAAUUCCCAGUGUAGCGGUGAAAUGCGUAGAUAUCGGGAGGAACACCAGUGGCGAAGGCGGCUUCCUGGCCGGAUACUGACGCUCAAGUGCGAAAGCUGGGGGAGCGAACGGGAUUAGAAACCCUUGUAGUCC